UGGAACUAAUGUGAUUUGGAUCCUGAUUGCGGUGUACAUGAAUGCACAUGAAUGAAUUUUGUGUGCACAAUAAUGAAUAUGAAGGCAUUAUACUGGAACACUAUAGUGUGUGUGUGUGUGUGUGUGUGUGUGUGUGUGUGUGUGUGUGCUCAGUUGCAUAGGUACUCCCAAUCCAA